rnacentral:rRNA from 1 species
CAGCGCCACGAGUGGUAACCACGUUUAUUGGGCCUAAAGCGUCCGUAGCCGGUUUGAUAAAUCUUUUGUGAAAUUGUACAGCUUAACUGUACAGCGUGCAAGAGACACUGUCAAACUCGAGACCGGGAGGAGUCAGAAGUAUUCCAGAGGGAGCGGUAAAAUGUUAUAAUCUCUGGAGGACUACCUGUGGCGAAGGCGUCUGACCAGAACGGAUCUGACGGUGAGGGACGAAAGCUAGGGGAGCGAACCGGAUUAGAUACCCGUGUAGUCC